GACGCUGGCGGCGUGCUUAACACAUGCAAGUCGAACGAACCUUCGGGUUAGUGGCGGACGGGUGAGUAACGCGUGGGAAUCUGCCCUCAGGAGGGGGAUAACGGUUGGAAACGACCGCUAAUACCCCAUAUGCCGAGAGGUGAAAUGAAUUUCGCCUGAGGAUGAGCCCGCGUCUGAUUAGCUUGUUGGUGAGGUAAUGGCUCACCAAGGCUUCGAUCAGUAGCUGGUCUGAGAGGAUGAUCAGCCACACUGGGACUGAGACACGGCCCAGACUCCUACGGGAGGCAGCAGUGGGGAAUUUUCCGCAAUGGGCGAAAGCCUGACGGAGCAACGCCGCGUGAGGGACGAAGGCCUCUGGGCUGUAAACCUCUUUUCUCAAGGAAGAAGAUAUGACGGUACUUGAGGAAUAAGCCACGGCUAAUUCCGUGCCAGCAGCCGCGGUAAUACGGGAGUGGCAAGCGUUAUCCGGAAUUAUUGGGCGUAAAGCGUCCGCAGGCGGCCUUUCAAGUCUGCUGUUAAAACGUGGAGCUUAACUCCAUCAUGGCAGUGGAAACUGAUUGGCUUGAGUAUGGUAGGGGCAGAGGGAAUUCCCGGUGUAGCGGUGAAAUGCGUAGAUAUCGGGAAGAACACCAGUGGCGAAGGCGCUCUGCUGGGCCAUUACUGACGCUCAUGGACGAAAGCCAGGGGAGCGAAAGGGAUUAGAUACCCCUGUAGUCCUGGCCGUAAACGAUGAACACUAGGUGUCGGGGGAAUCGACCCCUUCGGUGUCGUAGCUAACGCGUUAAGUGUUCCGCCUGGGGAGUACGCACG
rnacentral:rRNA from 1 species